GACGAACGCUGGCGGCGUGCUUAACACAUGCAAGUCGAGCGGUAAGGCCUUUCGGGGUCCACGAGCGGCGAACGGGUGAGUAACACGUGGGUGAUCUGCCCUGCACUUCGGGAUAAGCCUGGGAAACUGGGUCUAAUACCGGAUAUGACCUCCUAUCGCAUGGUGGGUGGUGGAAAGAUUUAUCGGUGCAGGAUGGGCCCGCGGCCUAUCAGCUUGUUGGUGGGGUAAUGGCCUACCAAGGCGACGACGGGUAGCCGACCUGAGAGGGUGACCGGCCACACUGGGCCUGAGACACGGCCCAGACUCCUACGGGAGGCAGCAGUGGGGAAUAUUGCACAAUGGGCGAAAGCCUGAUGCAGCGACGCCGCGUGAGGGAUGACGGCCUUCGGGUUGUAAACCUCUUUCAGCAGGGACGAAGCGCAAGUGACGGUACCUGCAGAAGAAGCACCGGCUAACUACGUG
rnacentral:rRNA from 1 species